rnacentral:rRNA from 1 species
AUUGAACGCUGGCGGCAGGCUUAACACAUGCAAGUCGAGCGGUAACAGAGAGAAGCUUGCUUCUCUGCUGACGAGCGGCGGACGGGUGAGUAAUGCCUAGGAAUCUGCCUAGUAGUGGGGGAUAACUUGCCGAAAGGUAAGCUAAUACCGCAUACGUCCUACGGGAGAAAGGAGGGGACCUUCGGGCCUUUCGCUAUUAGAUGAGCCUAGGUCGGAUUAGUUAGUUGGUGAGGUAAUGGCUCACCAAGACCGCGAUCCGUAACUGGUCUGAGAGGAUGAUCAGUCACACUGGAACUGAGACACGGUCCAGACUCCUACGGGAGGCAGCAGUGGGGAAUAUUGGACAAUGGGGGGAACCCUGAUCCAGCCAUGCCGCGUGUGUGAAGAAGGUCUUAGGAUUGUAAAGCACUUUAAGUUGGGAGGAAGAGCAGUUAACUAAUAUUUGACUGUUUUGACGUUACCGACAGAAUAAGCACCGGCUAACUUCGUGCCAGCCGCCGCAGUAA